CACGUAGGGCGCAAGCGUUGUCCGGAAUUAUUGGGCGUAAAGAGCUCGUAGGCGGUCUGUUACGUCUGCUGUGAAAACCCAGGGCUUAACCCUGGGCUUGCAGUGGAUACGGGCAGACUAGAGGCAGGUAGGGGAGAAUGGAAUUCCCGGUGUAGCGGUGAAAUGCGCAGAUAUCGGGAGGAACACCGGUGGCGAAGGCGGUUCUCUGGGCCUGCACUGACGCUCAUGCACGAAAGCGUGGGGAGCAAACAGG
rnacentral:rRNA from 1 species